UAUCAUUAACUGAAUCCAUAGGUUAAUGAGGCGAACCGGGGGAACUGAAACAUCUAAGUACCCCGAGGAAAAGAAAUCAACCGAGAUUCCCCCAGUAGCGGCGAGCGAACGGGGAGGAGCCCAGAGCCUGAAUCAGCAUGUGUGUUAGUGGAAGCGUCUGGAAAGGCGCGCGAUACAGGGUGACAGCCCCGUACACAAAAGCGCAUGUGCUGUGAGCUCGAUGAGUAGGGCGGGACACGUGGUAUCCUGUCUGAAUAUGGGGGGACCAUCCUCCAAGGCUAAAUACUCCUGACUGACCGAUAGUGAACCAGUACCGUGAGGGAAAGGCGAAAAGAACCCCGGCGAGGGGAGUGAAAAAGAACCUGAAACCGUGUACGUACAAGCAGUGGGAGCCCCACCACCAAAGCAUUUGCUGUACCGCGUUGACGGAGCGAAGCGACGUCAAACCGAUAAAACAGCAGUGUAAAGUGAGCCGCAGGGCGCUUUGCGCGACAGCGCAA
rnacentral:rRNA from 1 species